rnacentral:rRNA from 1 species
AGUUAGUGGAGUGAUCUGUCUGGUUAAUUCCGAUAACGAACGAGAUCUCGGCCAUUUAAAUAGCUUCAGUCACUUUUUAGUGGCUGUUUGCUUCUUAGAGGAACCAUGUGGAAUAAAUACCACAAGGAAGUGAGGCUAUAACAGGU